rnacentral:rRNA from 1 species
CUGGGUUUGACAUGCAGGGAAAUCUCAUAGAGAUAUGGGGUCCGCAAGGGUCCUGCACAGGUGGUGCAUGGCUGUCGUCAGCUCGUGUCGUGAGAUGUUGGGUUAAGUCCCGCAACGAGCGCAACCCUCGUUCUAUGUUGCCAGCGGAUAAUGCCGGGGACUCAUAGGAGACUGCCGGGGUCAACUCGGAGGAAGGUGGGGACGACGUCAAGUCAUCAUGCCCCUUAUGUCCAGGGCUGCACACAUGCUACAAUGGCCGGUACAAAGGGCAGCUAAACCGUAAGGUGGAGCGAAUCCCAAAAAGCCGGUCUCAGUUCGGAUUGGGGUCUGCAACUCGACCCCAUGAAGUCGGAGUCGCUAGUAAUCGCAGAUCAGCAACGCUGCGGUGAAUACGUUCCC